CGAUAGUCACCUUCAUUUUCCAUAAAACAGCCUAGACCUUUCCCCAAAUAAAUCAAUUUUACUUUUACAAUAACAUAAUCUUAUUCCUACAAGCAUGACUCUUAAUAUAUGUUUGGAAGUAGCAAAAUUCUUUUAAAAACACACCAUUUGCUCUUUUUGUAACAUAACUAAAAUCAUAUAUUUUCCUAAACAGGUGUGGUAAAGUCACUGUUUUUAUCCACCAGCUCUCUUGUCAUGAAAUAUGGAGAAUAGAAGGUCAUGUCACUGGCAUAUAACCCAACAGUUAUGAAGAUAAAAAGUGAAGAUGAAAAGUGAAAAGGUUUUGAGACCUUUCUUGGAGUCCAAAGGCAACACAGAAAUUGACAAAAUCAGAACACAACAAAAUGUAGGUUCUCUUGCUUCAAGUGGACAUUCAUUCCAUUACAGCAUGCAAGAGUAGCUCACAGGAGCACUCAUCACCAAAAAAUAACGUGAAAGAAUGAAGACCUCAGUUUUGGGACAAAGAAAUACCCUCUAGAAUCCAUAAUGUGGCAUCAAU
rnacentral:lncRNA from 1 species